ensembl:lncRNA
GAGUGUACCUGCGAGAUAGAAAGUGAUGUGUCCUGAGACUCUGUGAUACCUGCAUCACAGGUGCGUGUUUGCCUACAGCAUUAGGAUACCUGCAGGAUGUAUCAUAUGUAUCCCAAGAGCAACAGCUACCAAAAUUUCUUCUUGGCUGUAGAGGAAGCACAAGGAGAUUAAGCUUGCUGGGCUAAAGAAAGUGAAUCCACUGCUGUGAGUACAGAAUCUCAGAACUGGAGGGGAUGGAAGGGACCUUUGGAGAUCAUCCAGUCCAAAAGCUCCAUUAACAGACGCCCGCCCCUCCCUUGAGGAUUUAAGAAGAAAGGAAGGGAGGCAAGGCAAGCUUUCCACCCCGCGGCAGAACCAAGCAUGCCUGCACCAAGCAGGGAGCUGUGUUGUGCUGAGGACUCUCUGUGGGUUUAAUGGAUUUCAGUUGCAUGCCAUGACAGAUUAUGCUGUGGAUUAUCUUCAGAUACAUGUAGGAGAGGUAUUUCAAGGGAACGCUCUUCAGUGGAUGACAAUAAAGUGCACAGAAAAACUGUUUCCCAUCUUUUCCCCUUUCA